UACAGAGGGGGCGAGCGUUGUUCGGAAUUACUGGGCGUAAAGGGCGCGUAGGCGGCCUUCUAAGUCGAACGUGAAAUCCCCGGGCUCAACCCGGGAACUGCGUCCGAUACUGGGAGGCUUGAAUCCGGGAGAGGGAUGUGGAAUUCCAGGUGUAGCGGUGAAAUGCGUAGAUAUCUGGAAGAACACCCGUGGCGAAGGCGGCUCUCUGGGACGGUACUGACGCUGAGACGCGAAAGCGUGGGGAGCGAACAGG
rnacentral:rRNA from 1 species